rnacentral:rRNA from 1 species
CUGAGUACGGCGGAACACGUGAAAUUCCGUCGGAAUCCGGGAGGACCAUCUCCCAAGGCUAAAUACUCCCUAGUGACCGAUAGUGAACCAGUACCGUGAGGGAAAGGUGAAAAGCACCCCGGAAGGGGAGUGAAACAGUUCCUGAAACCGUGUGCCUACAAGUAGUUAGAGCCCGUUAAUGGGUGAUAGCGUGCCUUUUGUAGAAUGAACCGGCGAGUUACGAUUUGUUGCAAGGUUAAGCGGAAAAAGCGGAGCCGUAGCGAAAGCGAGUCUGAAUAGGGCGCAUAAGUAACAGGUCGUAGACCCGAAACCAGGUGAUCUACCCAUGUCCAGGAUGAAGGUAAGGUAAUACUUACUGGAGGUCCGAACCCACGCACGUUGAAAAGUGCGGGGAUGAGGUGUGGGUAGCGGAGAAAUUCCAAUCGAACUUGGAGAUAGCUGGUUCUCUCCGAAAUAGCUUUAGGGCUAGCCUCGAGGUAAAGAGUCAUGGAGGUAGAGCACUGUUUGGACUAGGGGCCCUUCUCGGGUUACCGAAUUCAGAUAAACUCCGAAUGCCAUGUACUUAUACUCGGGAGUCAGACUGCGAGUGAUAAGAUCCGUAGUCGAAAGGGAAACAGCCCAGACCACCAGUUAAGGUCCCCAAAUAUAUGUUAAGUGGAAAAGGAUGUGGGGUUGCUUAGACAACCAGGAUGUUGGCUUAGAAGCAGCCACCAUUGAAAGAGUGCGUAAUAGCUCACUGGUCGAGUGACCCCGCGCCGAAAAUGUACCGGGGCUAAACAUAUUACCGAAACUGUGGAUGAACCUCUUUAGAGGUUCGUGGUAGGAGAGCGUUCUAAGGGCGGUGAAGUCAGACCGGAAGGACUGGUGGAGCGCUUAGAAGUGAGAAUGCCGGUAUGAGUAGCGAAAGAAGGGUGAGAAUCCCUUCCACCGAAUAUCUAAGGUUUCCUGAGGAAGGCUCGUCCGCUCAGGGUUAGUCGGGACCUAAGCCGAGGCCGAUAGGCGUAGGCGAUGGACAACAGGUAGAGAUUCCUGUACCAGUGCUAAUUGUUUAACCGAUGGGGUGACACAGAAGGAUAGGGAAUCGCACGAAUGGAAAUGUGCGUCCAAGCAGUGAGUGUGAGAAGUAGGCAAAUCCGCUUCUCGCGAAGCAUGAGCUGUGAUGGGGAAGGAAAUUAAGUACGGAAGUUCCUGAUUUCACGCUGUCAAGAAAAGCCUCUAGGAAGAGUAGUACUGCCCGUACCGCAAACCGACACAGGUAGAUGAGGAGAGAAUCCUAAGGUGAGCGAGAGAACUCUCGUUAAGGAACUCGGCAAAAUGACCCCGUAACUUCGGGAGAAGGGGUGCUCUAUUAGGGUGCAAGCCCGAGAGAGCCGCAGUGAAUAGGCCCAGGCGACUGUUUAGCAAAAACACAGGUCUCUGCAAAACCGUAAGGUGACGUAUAGGGGCUGACGCCUGCCCGGUGCUGGAAGGUUAAGAGGAGUGCUUAGCUUCGGCGAAGGUACGAAUUGAAGCCCCAGUAAACGGCGGCCGUAACUAUAACGGUCCUAAGGUAGCGAAAUUCCUUGUCGGGUAAGUUCCGACCCGCACGAAAGGCGCAACGAUCUGGGCACUGUCUCAACGAGAGACUCGGUGAAAUUAUAGUACCUGUGAAGAUGCAGGUUACCCGCGACAGGACGGAAAGACCCCGUGGAGCUUUACUGCAACCUGAUAUGGAAUGUUUGUACCGCUUGUACAGGAUAGGUAGGAGCCGAAGAGACGUGUGCGCUAGCAUACGAGGAGGCAAUGGUGGGAUACUACCCUGGCUGUAUGACCAUUCUAACCCGCCACGCUUAGCGCGUGGGGAGACAGUGUCAGGUGGGCAGUUUGACUGGGGCGGUCGCCUCCUAAAGAGUAACGGAGGCGCCCAAAGGUUCCCUCAGAAUGGAUGGAAAUCAUUCGCAGAGUGUAAAGGCACAAGGGAGCUUGACUGCGAGACUGACAAGUCGAGCAGGGACGAAAGUCGGGCUUAGUGAUCCGGUGGUUCCGCAUGGAAGGGCCAUCGCUCAACGGAUAAAAGCUACCCCGGGGAUAACAGGCUUAUCUCCCCCAAGAGUCCACAUCGACGGGGAGGUUUGGCACCUCGAUGUCGGCUCGUCGCAUCCUGGGGCUGUAGUCGGUCCCAAGGGUUGGGCUGUUCGCCCAUUAAAGCGGCACGCGAGCUGGGUUCAGAACGUCGUGAGAC